CGCACAUUGCGCCCCUUGGUACUCCGGGGGGCAUGCCUGUCCGAGCGUCAUUGAAAACCAUCAAGCCUGGCUUGGUCUUGGGCGCGGUCUGGGGACCCGCCCGCAACCCGUCGGCGGUGUCGGUUCGGCCCUGAGCGUAGCAGAAGCACUCGUUCUGGGGCCGCUGCGGCACCCGCCAGUAACAUUCUAUCUACAGUUUGACCUCGGAUCAGGUAGGGAUACCCGCUGAACUUAA
rnacentral:misc_RNA from 1 species